UGGGUAGGGGAGCUUCCCAUACGGGUUGAAGCAUGACCGUAAGGACAUGUGGACGGUAGGGGAGUGAGAAUGUUGGCGUGAGUAGCGGGACGUGGGUGAGAAUCCCACAGGCCGUAAACGCAAGGUUGCCAGGGGAAGGUUCGUCCGCCCUGGGUUAGUCGGGACCUAAGCUGAGGCAGAAAGGCGUAGGUGAUGGACAACAGGUUGAUAUUCCU
rnacentral:rRNA from 1 species